rnacentral:rRNA from 1 species
GACGAACGCUGGCGGCGUGCCUAAUACAUGCAAGUCGAACGCUUCUUUCCUCCCGAGUGCUUGCACUCAAUUGGAAAGAGGAGUGGCGGACGGGUGAGUAACACGUGGGUAACCUACCCAUCAGAGGGGGAUAACACUCGGAAACAGGUGCUAAUACCGCAUAACAGUUUAUGCCGCAUGGCAUAAGAGUGAAAGGCGCUUUCGGGUGUCGUUGAUGGAUGGACCCGCGGUGCAUUAGCUAGUUGGUGAGGUAACGGCUCACCAAGGCCACGAUGCAUAGCCGACCUGAGAGAGUGAUCGGCCACACUGGGACUGAGACACGGCCCAGACUCCUACGGGAGGCAGCAGUAGGGAAUCUUCGGCAAUGGACGAAAGUCUGACCGAGCAACGCCGCGUGAGUGAAGAAGGUUUUCGGAUCGUAAAACUCUGUUGUUAGAGAAGAACAAGGACGUUAGUAACUGAACGUCCCCUGACGGUAUCUAACCAGAAAGCCACGGCUAACUACGUG